AGCGUAUCGAGGUUUAAUUUAUUUUAAUGUAUUCAAUCGAUACAUUACCGCGCGAGAAGAUCGAAAUAUCGUGGAGCGAGGCGAGCGAGGAUGGGAACGUUGUGAGGAAAAUUCGAGACACGAUCCAACGUUAGCACGUUCUGGUUUUGCGGCAACUUCUGGUUGCCGAAGUUAUCGAAGAAAGUUCCUGUGAAAUAGCAGUAACAGAUAGCCGAAAAUGUUUCGAUUUAAUUUCCCUCGAGCGACAAAGUCGCGCUAUUCCUCGUUUCAUACUUGCACCGACGUACCACGACUAAUGAACACUCUUAAUUAGUAAUUAGCAACUUUACCGACUCAUGAAACUUAUCAGUUUAUUCCCAGUCGAACACCCGUGUGUUUAACUCUUCCUUUACUGCUACUGAUUAUACAAUGUGGACUGUGCAAAAUGAUUUGAAAAACACGUUUGAGAUUU
rnacentral:misc_RNA from 1 species